UACGUAGGUGGCAAGCGUUGUCCGGAUUUACUGGGCGUAAAGAGCGCGCAGGCGGCUGGUCAAGUCCGAUGUGAAAUCUCCCGGCUUAACUGGGAAACUGCAUCGGAAACUGAUCGGCUUGAAGGUGGGAGAGGGUAGUGGAAUUCCCGGUGUAGUGGUGAAAUGCGUAGAUAUUAGGAGGAACACCGGUGGCGAAGGCGGCUACCUGGACCGAUAUUGACGCUGAGACGCGAAAGCGUGGGGAGCAAACAGG
rnacentral:rRNA from 1 species